rnacentral:lncRNA from 1 species
CAUGGGGAUGUUUCUUCUUAAAUACCACUUAAUAACACUAUUUUAUUGACUGUUUUGUGCAAGGGAGCAAGCUCAAGAAGGACAGAUGCAAGUUAAAUGUCUUGGCUUCAAAAAACUUACACUUUAGUUGAAAAGCAGAAAGAAACACAGUGGGAAAAUGAAGGGGAAAAAAAGGCAAUAUUUGGUAUUUAAUUACCAGUUUAAAACCUGAAGAGUUGAGUUGUGGCAUGGCCAUCCGGUGCCAGGCUAUGGGAAAUCAGAGGAGGAAGAGGUGGAGGCACAGGCACCUGUAAGUCAAGGGGUAUACACAGUUUGGGGGUCAUGAGCCUCUUAGAGAAACCGAAAAAUCUCUGUGUCCCUGCCUGGAUAUGUUUGAAACAAAGGUCCACUUUUGUUUAACCACCCAGAAUUAAUAACUGUUGACAUCUGGUCAUAGUCAUACUCUGUUAACUUGAAGAAAUACAGCAUUCAUGAAGAUGUCUCCUCUAACCAUUCAGUUCAGAUUUAACUCCUUCUCCUGCCCCUGUACACACAUACAGGUGCCUCUCAGGAGGUCCAUCUGUAGCCUCCUUUUGGAGUUACUCUUUUCUUUUAUUUAUUGGUUUUAUGUAUUCUUUUCUGUCAUGCCCAUGACAUGUGGAAGUUCUGGGGCCAAGGCUCAAAUCUGUGCCACCACAGAAACCCUAGCCACAGCAGUGACUGUGCUGGACCUUAACCUGCUGAGCCACCAGGGAACUCCCUGGGGUUGCUAUUUUGCAUACACAAGUGUCCAUAAAGGGUAUAUAGUGCUUUUUGGGGUAAAUUAAUUAUUUCUUAUAUUUGCAUAUGUGGCAUCCUUAUGGACCCAGGCACAAAUACUUGCAAGCGUAUGGCCCCAGGUACUUCCUGGACCCUGGAAGUCCAUUUCUAGAUUCCUGUUUUAGAGGAAGGUGGGACUUGAACCCAGCGAGCAAGUUGGAGAAGGUGUGGGGGAAGUCCAGCCCACAGGUGGGUUCACUGGAGCAGAAGCAGGAGGGAGGGUCUCUGGAGACUGUCAUCCUGCCCAGGGUGGGGAGGACUGUCCCUAUGAGGCCUUGAGAAUCUAGUUCGCAGCCAUCACUGUUUCCCGUACCGUUCAUUUGGCAUUUCACUUGCUCAGAGUUCCUUACUGUUCAGACAUAUAUGUCCUGUUUCUUCCCCUGGACUGUAAACUCCUUCCAAAUCAGACUCUGAUGCUUCAUCUCUUUGCCUUUCCUUUGGGUGUUUUAACUAAGAAAUGCUUGGUGGGUUUGUAUUUUUUGUUUUUCAGUAAAUACUGUGUAAUUGAAACUUUCAUUCUGAUGUUAGGUCUUUGAAUAAUUUUCAGAAAUUAAACCUGAGGCUUUUGAAGAUAAAUUGUGGCAAUUUAAGCCAGCUAGGAAGCUUUAACGUGGGUCGGGCUAUCCUACGGCAGGGAUCUUGGUCUGUUGAUGGCCAAGUUUCCCUCCUGUCAUCGAAGGAUGGCAGAUU